GGGCGGUUAGCUCAGGGGUAGAGCACUGCAUUCACACUGCAGGGGUCAGUGGUUCGAUCCCACUACCGCCCACCA
rnacentral:tRNA from 1 species